GGUACUCCUGUGGUCACUGCAAGACAGUGUAUGAUACUGAAGACCGGGCGUCACUGUGUUUUGUACGCCAUCUUGCACAAGAUGUCUGGAAUGUAACAGAAUCCAGUGAAAUGGAUUCAACCCCUAUUGACUCACAGUUGCAUACCAGUACAUCAGAACAGUCCAGUGGCCAGCAGCAAACACCGUGGACAGAAGAUACUGUCGACAUACUGCUGAGAGCUGUGAGGGAUGCAUUCCCAUGUUUGGAUGGGAAGCUGGAGAAGAGAGACCGUGUGUGGCGUGACAUUUUUGCUCUAGUUUCACCUCAACCUCAUCAUGUGGAUAUAUUAACGUUAGUGGUAGGUAAUGCUGCACUUGUUUAUAUUGCAUUCCAUACCAGUAGAACUACUUGUCUUUAGCCUUGGUUGUGGAAACCUAGGUUAGGUAUAAAUAACAUAGUUUUGUACUGUACUGAACAUGUGAUACCCAAACCAUAAUGCACUGUGUGGGAUAAUAAUAAGUGUGUUUCUUUGCUGCAUGAUCAUACUUCAAUGCAUAACUAUUCUGCCCUUAUUCCAGCAUAUGCAUGUCUUAAGGUAAAUGUCGUUCACAUGUUUUAGAGUUAUGUAUUUAAAAUUAAAAUUCAAUAAUGCUGAUUCUUACGUCAGUGUUACUGCUAACCAUGUAAGCAAUAAUCAUGCAAGCCUGUGCUUACUGAAAUAGCGUUUUGUGUCAUUAUACUCCUGUCAUGAGCAUGAAUGUAUGUUGGGUUAUGAGGUACUGUUAAAGGUACAUUAAUGAGUAUGAAUGAUUUGUACAUAAGCUGAGGUAUUUUACCUGAGAUUUUUCUUUCACUAGGCAUGAACAAACAUGUAAAUACAUACUUGUACUGAUAUAUAAAUUUCAUAUACAUAUACUGACCAAAACUAAUGCCUAAAACAUACCAUUACUACAAGCAAACAAAACACCUUAUCUCAUAACACACAAAGAUGAUUCAAAACUUCAACAAAGCUCACAUAACCCAAAAUGCAUGUAUCAUGUGUCAAUGUCAAAGUGCUGAUGCUCGCUGUGCUUAGUGCUGAUCAUUUAGUUUAGGGUUCAAUCCCGGGUGGGUCAUGUGAGAUCUCUGUGCUUAGCCCUAUGAAUCAGGCACAAAGUUUUGUAAUGUCCUCCAUUUAGGUAUUAUUUUACAAGCCUGGCAGGGUGUGGGUAGGACCUGACAUGGGUCACGGAAUGGGAUGCACGGACGGAAUGAGAUGUGCGGACUGGGAUAUGAACCUCCAUCACCAGCCCCUCUCUGCCAUUGGUGAACACUGCACUCAACCACUGGCCCAUCAUACUGGAUUUAAAGUAUAAUUAUGCAACAUUAUUGAGGAUCAUUUGCAAGGAAAUUACAGCUGUAUACCCCUACACUCAGCAGCCCACAUUACAACUUUCCUAAUGAUAUGCACAUUAGUAUAAGUUCUUCCAUAAUAUGGAAGCUUAUGAAAUAAGGCUGUAAUUUAAAAAAUUAACUUACAAUAGAGGUUCAAGAAAUGUCAUAACUUUCAUGUUAUAUUAAAGUGGCAAUACUGGUGGAUGGUAUACAUCUAAUAAAUUUGGUGUAGGUGCAAAUGGAACUUGUAGAACUGAGGAAUUAAGCUAAUAGGCAUUUACUGUGCUGUUAUCUAAGAUCAUCUGCUUUUCAGGUCCCUGGGGCUACUAUGCAACAGUGUAAAGUGAAGUGGAAAAAUCUAAGGUAUGCCUUCAUGCGUUAUAUUGAAAACAUGAAGACAACAGGAGAUCGUGUUGACGUGGCAUUACUUAUCAUAUAGAAAUAAUUGAAAGAUUUUCACACAUAUCAUAUCCCAGGGAUAUGAUCUUCUUUGUUCAUUCCUUGGUGAACGACCUGUCACACACCCUAGAACUGAGAGGUGUGGCCUUGAGAAUGAACAAAUACGUGAUGCUCUGCUCUAGUUACAGGAACCACAGCUAUCAAGACUGUAACUCCUGUUGCAGGAGCCUCAGGUGUCAGCAGGAUUGUCACUUCUAUUGCAGGAGCCUCAGGUGUCAGCAGGGCUGACACUCCUGUUGCAGGACCAUCAGGUGUCAGCAGGGCUGACACUCCUGUUGCAGGACCAUCAGGUGUCAGCAGGGCUGACACUACUGUUGCAGAACCAUCAGGUGUCAGCAGAGCUACCACUCCUGCAUCAAUGUCUGAUUGAUCCUGAUGACCCGCCACCAUUAUUAAAUAUCCUUGAAGUGAGGCAGUCAGUUAAGAGGAAGAAAAUAAGACCACCAUCACAGUCAAAAAGAUUUGAAUUAAUGCAAAAGGAGAGUUUAGAACAGGUGAAAGCCUCUAGGAGUAAAAUGGAAAACUCUUUUGCAAUACAGGAAGAGCGGAUUAAAAAGAAGGAAGAGGCAAUGGAAAAGAAUAGAAUGUUUCAGAAGGAAGUCCUUAAAAACAACAAGAAAUUACUGGAAAUAGAAGAAAAGAAAUUAGAAGUCCUGAAAGAGUUGCUUGAAUUGCAGAGAGAGAGAAAGAAAUAGAGAUCCCUUAGUGCUCAGUGUGUAAGAGCGUGCCUGUGCCCCAGUUGUGACGGAGCUCAUUAAACUAUAAGCUAGUCAGGCUCAGUGACAGACCACAAACAAUUAUUAGAAAAGUUUGUAAUUAUUUUCAGUGAUCUGGUACAAAAUUUUAAGUAAAUUGUAGUACAAAUAGCCAAAGUACAAAAUAUAUUUGUUUGUAAAUGUGUGAAAAUCUUUCAAUUAUUUCUAUAUGAUAAAUAAUGCCACGUCAACACGGUCGAACAUUGCUGAGCAGUCUGUGCCGUUGUGAUGUCAGAAAUGGAGAAAUAGCAAGACUUUUACAUUUCUGAAGUAUAUUUCUCCAUUUCUGACGUCACACCAUACCCAGACUUCCGAGCAGUGCUUGACCGUGUGGACGUGGCAUAAGAACUGUAAAUAAUAAUGUUACAAAAGCUUAAAGUUAUGCAGCAGUGUAAACAGGGUUGUUGAUUUUUUUUAUAUCAUUAAAAAAAUAAUAAAAUCAAUCAGAUUUUUUUUAUUUAAAUCGGAUUUAUUUGAUUUAAUUUUUUUUUAUAAUAAACAAGAUAAUAGACUAAAUAUGUAUAUAUUUGUUUACAUUUAAAUAUCCUCUGCCAACCAACUCACUC